UAUUCUAUUUAGAAGUUUUGUUUCCAUUGAUACACACCUGUCUAUUGUGAAUCAAUGAAUGUGUUUAUUUACACAUUCCAAUGCGGAAUCCCCGUAGUAGUAGCAGGUGUUAUUUGACCUAGUUUGUAGUGAUUCCAAAAUGGCCGUGCAGGCAACAACCAAUCAGAUGUCAGUGUUGCUUUAAUAACAUUGAGCUUUGCAUUCAUGAGUUAGUCACGCGCGCAGCGUUGGUCAUGUACUUCGCUCUACCAAUCUUUAAAUUAUUAUUACGUAAAUUUUUAAAAAUUGCUAAAAAUUAAUUUAAAUUAUUUAUUUUGAGUUUAGUAUGUAUUGUAGUCAAUUUUGUCUGUUCAAUAUUUUAUAAAGCAACUUAUUGGUUAUAUUAUUUAAUAAGCUGUUGAAUGAAGUUAGGCGGCCUUCAAAGAUUCUUAGUGAGCAUCGAAUUGUUAUUGUGAGGUCUGAAAUUUUAUAUGAUAAAUACAUCAGAAGAGACGUAUAAGCUAAAAGAACUUGUCGAUGUGGAAGUCAAUGAACUGUAGAGAAGAUGAUAAAAAAGAUGUGCAGGCAAAAUUGAAUUGCUAUGAUCUAGAAUGGACAGAAAAUUAGUUAGAUACCUGAUUAUUUGAUAUCAGUGGAUGAUUUUUUCGGUGCAGUGCCAUUUGAACUUCGAAAAGGUAUUAAUUGUGGUGUUGCCUUUAAAAACAUAAAGGCGCCACAUCGGUAAUAUUGGGGUAACAUGCAGGGCAUUAAGCGCUAAUUAAUUCUAUCAAAACGACGGCGGUUGCUUGCUUGGUCUGGUAUACGGUCUUGGGAUUUGCAAAUGCCAAGCGUCGAGGUAUUUCCAAACUUUAUGGAUAUUAGGGGAUUUCGGAUCGAUUACUACUUUCCAAACAAGCAUUGAUAUAUGGGCCUUUUCUAACGUAAUUGAAACCACGAAAACUGUUUUUCUCCCCGGAACAUUUGCGACGUUUUCAAAUUAAAAGGAAUUGGGAUACAUACACCAAGAAAUGUUUACAAAAGCAGAAAAAAGAAAAAUGUCCAAUAUUCAGGAGUUUCAGAAAGGCAAUUUCAACUUUUCUUUCUUUUUAACUUGAAAUUAUACAAGAAGAGGAAUAUCUUCUAAAGUUUACUUUAAAACACAUGAAAACCAAAUGUUCAUACGUUUUGAUUUAAUUUGUUGCUUUUAAAUUCUUUGUAUCAUAUUAACUUCAUAAACAUUAAACGAAUUGUAAUAAUAACCAUUGACAAUGGCAAUUAAUUUUUCCUUAUUUUGAAUGUUAGCAAUUUAAUGAAAAUUUUAAGUAAUAAUUCUUCUCAAAAUAAUGUCUAGAAUCCCAAUUUGAAGGUAAAUUGGUAUAUUAGUUUUACUGGAAUAAGUAAUAGUGUAUUGUGUGUUUUAAAAUUAUUUUAUUAUUUAUUUUUUAAACUAAUUUGUUAUAUAUAAACAAAAAAUUAAUAAGAAACUUAAUACAAACCUAGUUUAUUAAUGGAAUUUGUUUUUUAAAACGAAUUGGAAAAUUUAAAAUAGUAUUUAUGACAUUGCGUGACAUGUAAUUUACGUAUUAUUUUAUAAAUUACUAUUUUAAUAAACAUUAGAAAACCCUUUUUAAUGUAGAAUAAUGUGCUAAAUUGAAAUUUGGAAACAUAUUUGCAAUUCAGUAUUAGGUAAAAUAAAAUAUGACAAACUAACUUCUUGCAAAAUGUUUAAAUCAAGUUUUGUAGUGUUAUAAAUUGUUUAAAAGCUUUUUAUGAUGUUAAUGGAUAAAGUUUUUGAUUUUGAUAA